GAUGAACGCUGGCGGCGUGCCUAAUACAUGCAAGUCGAGCGAACGGACGAGAAGCUUGCUUCUCUGAUGUUAGCGGCGGACGGGUGAGUAACACGUGGAUAACCUACCUAUAAGACUGGGAUAACUUCGGGAAACCGGAGCUAACACCGGAUGAUAUUUUGAACCGCAUGGUUCAAAAGUGAAAGACGGUCUUGCUGUCACUUAUAGAUGGAUCCGCGCUGCAUUAGCUAGUUGGUAAGGUAACGGCUUACCAAGGCAACGAUGCAUAGCCGACCUGAGAGGGUGAUCGGCCACACUGGAACUGAGACACGGUCCAGACUCCUACGGGAGGCAGCCGUAGGGAAUCUUCCGCAAUGGGCGAAAGCCUGACGGAGCAACGCCGCGUGAGUGAUGAAGGUCUUCGGAUCGUAAAACUCUGUUAUUAGGGAAGAACAUAUGUGUAAGUAACUGUGCACAUCUUGACGGUACCUAAUCAGAAAGCCACGGCUAACUACGUG
rnacentral:rRNA from 1 species